UUUUAUCCAUUAAAACCCUGGGCAAACAUUAACUAAUCCUCUCAACCCCCUCCUGGGGUAGGUAAAUACUGUCUUGCAGGUGCAGAAACUGAGGAGGAAAAGCAACGUGAUUUGCCUAAAGCCACAGAGGGAACCAGGUGGGGAUAAAAACAGGGGAGGUGUUUUAUGGCCUGUGCCUGGGCUCCUUGUGCUCGCUGCCUCCCAGACAGCAUUGUUUUACGUGCACCCGGUGCUGGCGUCCCCUCGGUGCUACAAGGAGCCAAGCAGCCGCUGCAGCGUGCCUGCGCCCUGCAAACCUGCGAUGUCUGGGCUCGGCCCGGAGCACAGACAGGGGCAGGGGCUUUGGGGCAGGGUUCCCAGGGGCCAAGCAGCAAAAGCCUCCCGCUUUGAAGUCGGCGAGGUCUGGGCCGGUGGCUUCAAGGCGGGAUCGCAUGCCGUGAAACGCUUGUCGCGUCCAGGCUGGGGGUGCCUCUCAGGGGGCUUAGCCCCCGCCGCCCUGCCUUCAAGCGGGUGAUAAAUGUUGUCUGCAGCGCUGGACUUGUUUACCUUUGGGAUUUACACCGCAGAUAGGGCGGCGGGGCGGCCCUGUGCCUGCAGACCUGUGUCCCGACAGCCUGGCCCCACUGGCGGGGCUGCUGCCCUCUGCUCCUGGGGGCCCCAUGCUGCCUUUCCUGGGCAUCCCAGGCCUCUCUCCUUGGUGGCUAGCAUUUCAUGCACCCUCGUAGCCAGGAAUUUCUCUCUCUGUGCCUAAUCACUCCAUGCUAACCUCUCCCCUCUUUGCAGCGCGGCAGCUUGUCUCGCAGCUCGUCUUCUCGCCUCUGACCUGGCUGAGGCAGAGCCCAGGCCAUCAGAUAAAAUGCAAAGGAAAGGUUUGUGUGCCCAGCCGCUCUCACGCCGCAGGGCCAGGCCCUGCCCAGAGAUAAAGGGUGCUCCCGCGCCUCCGAGGCGGCGUCGGGAGGCUUCUGUCUGCGGCACGUUGUGCCCGGCAUCUUUUAAUUAGAGACACAUGCUUUAUUAUUCAGAAGAAUAUGCUUUCCUGGUCGUUUGUUAGGAUCUUGCAUCCAAGAGUGCUGCAGACUGCAAGCCCUGAAUUAAGCUGUACGAAGCAUAUUGAGCACCUCAGAAAAGGGGAGGCGUGGGGCGGGGGCUAUUGUCCUCUCCCCGCAUUGUGGGCAGCUCCUUCCUGAGUUGGUCCUUUCACUUGUUGGCCAGCUCGUAGGCGCUGCGGUUUGUUUCUGCCUCCAUCUGUUCCAACUUCAGUUUAUUCAGGGCUCUGUAGGUAUUGUACGCUGUGCUGCUUGCUUUUUUUUGUUGUUGUUGUUGUGGAUGGGGGAGACUCCCCUUUUCAUGGUUCACCUAUUCAUUUUGUAGAUCUCCAGCUUCCUUGUCAAGUUUUUUCUUUUGUUCUAUUAAUUGGUCUUAAGUCUACAGUCAGGUGCUGUGCGCGUGCUUCCCGUGUACACCUUAACCAUCUGCUGCCUUUCAUCUCCAUGGUGCCCAGGCCAAAUUCCAGCUCUGGCAAUGACAUCCUGCUCCCCGCGCUCUCCCCGCAGCUCUAAUUGCCUUCAGUGCUGUCCUGCCCUCACCUCCGCUCGUGGCCGGGAGAGGAGCGAGGUGCCCGCUGCCCCCGCUGCGAGGAGAAGGCAGGGCUGGAGGGAGCCUCCGCUUGGAAGGGAGAGGUGCAGGUCUCCAGCACUGAAAGCAGUUGAACGGUUUUCAAAGGCAUGCAGUGAAGUGUGUACUCUUGUGUCUGUCUGUCCUGUCCAAACGCAAGCUGACUGUAGUUCCUGGAGGAGGGCAGAGUCUCUGUGAAGAUGGUGACCUGCUCAGCAAGGUGUGAAGCAUGCAUGUGCUCAUGUAGAAAUGAUCUGCCCUGGAGGAUCUGGAGCUCAAGGAACUGAGACAGCAUCUGGAAGCACAGAGAUUCUUGCUUUACUGUAGAUGUGCGGCACAGAAGAAAUAAGCUUUCUGCUCAGCACCACAGAAGAAAGCAUCACCGUGAUGUUAACAUCAGCCCUGUGACUGAGUUCCCCUUUGCGGUGAAGCCUUCUCCUUCCCUACCGCAGCGUGGCUGAGAGGCACGGCCUUUGUCAGUACAUCUCUGCAGGGAAAACAAAUCAUCGUAAUGGCCCAAACGCUCCGGUUCUUCUGGUAAGUGGCUGUGGAAGCGGAGCUCAGUUCCCUUCCCUGGAUCGUAUUUGCUUCUGCGGAUGUGAGGGAGGAGGGCUGCUUCGCCCCACCAGACUGAAAUGAACCCGGAAGCAUGGGAGCAGGAGCUCAGCCCUGAACUUCGCUCCCCCAGAGCUGGCGCUUGACUAAAGGCCGCAGAUGAUGUCUCCUGUGCAGGCUUGGCAGUAGGCGCUGCUGGUACCAUCCCAACAGCAAUGGUUGUCUCGCUUUUAACAGGGCUAAAUAAUGGCCCUGCGUGGGUCAAAUUAAGCAACAGUUGUCUGUUCACAGCUGCCGUCAGAAGUGGUUGGUAGGUCGCUGAUCGCUCACGUGAAAUGCUCGGGGAUGAGGAACGCUUCUGCCAACAUCACCCGUGUGUUUGUACAUCUGACCUUCAGGCAGCGCAGGCAUUUACAAAGAGCAAACCACAAGCAGUGCUCCUUGCAAUCGCUGACUCCUUGGGCACGGGGAGGUGGGCAAGGGCAGCGUCUGGUGGCUUGGGCACACAGCGGGGCGCUCGGGGCAGGUGGCUGAGGGCUGCUUUUUUUGGAUGUUUCUCUUCUUCCUAGAAAGCCUGCGUGAUGAACUUUUCAGGUCGGCUGUUCCAGAAGAGCAACAAGCACGUGCUGACCUUUGCUCGCGUGAGAGCCGGCGUUAAUGAGUUACCUGCUGACCCCGGCGCCCCGCAGGAACCGCGGGCAGCCUCCGCAGAGACCCCGGCGGCUUCCCCACGGGUGGCACCUUGUUAUGCCCCAGCCCGCCCGCGCCAGCCCCGUCAGCUCAGCCCCUGGGCCCCAGAGCUGCUGUCUGCAGCUUGGACGUGACCAGGAAUCUCCUGGCCCCUGAGCUCAGUGCUGUAAGGUCUGCUGAAGCUUCUCGGCCAACUGCAAAGCCUGAAGGAAGGAGGUGAUGCUGUGUUUAGGCAUCGUGGUUUCUAGCCCUUUGUUGUUUUUUCGGUUGUUUUGUACUUUUUAAAUAGGAAUUUUACAGUUGUUUCUUUAGCUUUGUAUCUGAACAAGGCUUGUUUGGAAGCCUCCUUGCUUGUCUGGAUGGCCAAAGGAGCCUUUGCAGCGAAAAAUAAAUUUAUAAUUUCCUUUAAACGUACCCAAUAUAAUGAAAAGUAGGAAGAGAAACUGAAUUCUGGAUAGAGCCUUCCUCUUUAACGUGCAGCCUUAGUACCAGAAAAUGUCAGAAGCUGCUUCUCCCAGAACAAAGCCGAGAGGUGGCCUCUGGUUGCUGUAUGCACCUGCCUCCUCGCCGCCCCGUCCCCUGCGGGGACCCUUCAGUAUGCCUGUGCUCAAAUCCUGCUGCCCGUUCCCGGACCGUGGAGCUGCCUGUGGGAGGGCAGGGGCCGUGUGAGCCGGGCUGAGCGGGGCCUCUCCGUGGGGUGCUCACCAGAGCAGCGCUGGGGUCCCUUGGGCACAGUAGGAGCUGAGGACUGAGGGGCUUCCCCUAACAAAGCCCUUUCCAUCCGGCUCCCCGUUGGCGCAGCUUGGGACCAGCACGGCUUGGGAGCA